rnacentral:rRNA from 1 species
UCUACGGGUGGCUGCAGUGGGGAAUAUUGGACAAUGGGCGAAAGCCUGAUCCAGCCAUGCCGCGUGUGUGAAGAAGGCCUUCGGGUUGUAAAGCACUUUCAGUGGGGAAGAAAGCCUUGGGGCUAAUACCCUCGAGGAAGGACAUCACCCACAGAAGAAGCACCGGCUAACUCCGUGCCAGCAGCCGCGGUAAUACGGAGGGUGCGAGCGUUAAUCGGAAUUACUGGGCGUAAAGCGCGCGUAGGCGGUCUGAUAAGCCGGUUGUGAAAGCCUCGGGCUCAACCUGGGAACGGCAUCCGGAACUGUCAGGCUAGAGUGCAGGAGAGGAAGGUAGAAUUCCCGGUGUAGCGGUGAAAUGCGUAGAGAUCGGGAGGAAUACCAGUGGCGAAGGCGGCCUUCUGGACUGACACUGACGCUGAGGUGCGAAAGCGUGGGUAGCAAACAGGAUUAGAUACCCCUGUAGUC